UACGUAGGGUGCAAGCGUUGUCCGGAAUUAUUGGGCGUCAAGAGCUCGUAGGCGGUUUGUCGCGUCUGCUGUGAAAACUCGGGGCUUAACUCCGGGCCUGCAGUGGGUACGGGCAGACUAGAGUGCGGUAGGGGAGACUGGAAUUCCUGGUGUAGCGGUGAAAUGCGCAGAUAUCAGGAGGAACACCGGUGGCGAAGGCGGGUCUCUGGGCCGUAACUGACGCUGAGGAGCGAAAGCGUGGGGAGCGAACAGG
rnacentral:rRNA from 1 species